rnacentral:rRNA from 1 species
CGACUGCUAAGACUGGAUAGGAGACAAGAAGGCAUCUUCUUGUUUUUAAAAGACCUAGCAAUAGGUAUGCUUAGGGAGGAGCUUGCGUCACAUUAGUUAGUUGGUGGGGUAAAGGCCUACCAAGACUAUGAUGUGUAGCCGGGCUGAGAGGUUGAACGGCCACAUUGGGACUGAGACACGGCCCAAACUCCUACGGGAGGCAGCAGUAGGGAAUUUUCGGCAAUGGAGGAAACUCUGACCGAGCAACGCCGCGUGAACGAUGAAGUAUUUCGGUACGUAAAGUUCUUUUAUUAGGGAAGAAUAAAUGAUGGAAAAAUCAUUCUGACGGUACCUAAUGAAUAAGCCCCGGCUAACUAUGUGCCAGCAGCCGCGGUAAUACAUAGGGGGCAAGCGUUAUCCGGAAUUAUUGGGCGUAAAGGGUGCGUAGGCGGUUAAAUAAGUUUAUGGUCUAAGUGCAAUGCUCAACAUUGUGAUGCUAUAAAAACUGUUUAGCUAGAGUAAGAUAGAGGCAAGUGGAAUUCCAUGUGUAGUGGUAAAAUGCGUAAAUAUAUGGAGGAACACCAGUAGCGAAGGCGGCUUGCUGGGUCUUUACUGACGCUGAGGCACGAAAGCGUGGGGAGCAAACAGGAUUAGAUACCCUGGUAGUCCACGCCGUAAACGAUGAGUACUAAACGUUGGGUAAAACCAGUGUUGAAGUUAACACAUUAAGUACUCCGCCUGAGUAGUACGUACGCAAGUAUGAAACUUAAAGGAAUUGACGGGACUCCGCACAAGCGGUGGAUCAUGUUGUUUAAUUCGAAGGUACCCGAAAAACCUCACCAGGUCUUGACAUGCUUCUGCAAAGCUGUAGAAACACAGUGGAGGUUAUCAGUUGCACAGGUGGUGCAUGGUUGUCGUCAGCUCGUGUCGUGAGAUGUUGGGUUAAGUCCCGCAACGAGCGCAACCCUUAUUGUUAGUUACCAGCACGUAAUGGUGGGGACUUUAGCAAGACUGCCAGUGAUAAAUUGGAGGAAGGUGGGGACGACGUCAAAUCAUCAUGCCCCUUAUGACCUGGGCUACAAACGUGAUACAAUGGCUGUUACAAAGGGUAGCUGAAGCGCAAGUUUUUGGCGAAUCUCAAAAAAACAGUCUCAGUUCGGAUUGAAGUCUGCAACUCGACUUCAUGAAGUUGGAAUCGCUAGUAAUCGCGAAUCAGCAUGUCGCGGCGAAUACGUUCUCGGGGUUUGUACACACCGCCCG